rnacentral:lncRNA from 13 species
GUUUGUACUCCCUUGAGAUCUGCCUUCUUCCCACUUCUGUGCAUUCCUCUCUCAGCUCUGUGAGUCUUCCUUUCUAAUGGCCUGCAGCUGUAACUGGAAGACUGCCCUAAAGAUACUGGAGCAGUUCUCUCUUGCAUGCUCAGAUUGCUAGAAGUACCUAGGAAUUUAUAUUCUUCCAGGGUUAGAAGGUGGGAGGAGAAUGGAACUCUCAAGAAAGUCACCCCAAGAUCUGUGGAUACUUUUCUGAAAAAAAAAUUAACUCAUAAGCUUACAAUAAACCAAACCUGUAUUUCUUAUCUGAAACAUUCAGAGACAAAAAUCAGAUCCAGUUUGGGAAAGUCCUUACCCCCGACUGCAAAGAACCUCUUACAGCUUCUCACGAUUCUUGAUCAUGUCACCCCUCUCUCACUGGAUCAGAUGGGUUUAGAACUCAUUUAGAAGCCAGUCACUGUGGUCUAGAGGAGACGUAUGCUCAUUGGGUAAACCAAUUAAGGUCCACUCAAGAAGCACAGGUGGGUCAAUCUUAAUCAGAGAGUUGGUGGGUGGGGAGGAAAGUGGAGUGGAUUCCCCAAGAGACAAUUAGAUUGCUUUGAACCAGGAAAACGGGAAAUAUAUUCCAAAUGUAAUACUACAAGUGUUCAUUGCAGAUUUCAUUGAGAGUUUAAUAAAUAGAUGUGUAGUACAAUUUUAUGUGUGUAA